CAGGAAUUUAUUUCUCACAGCUUCUGAAGUCUGGGAAGUCCAAGCUCAAGGUGAAGCCUCCUCAGGUGGCAAAGAGCAGAAGCACAAAAGAGACCAAACUCCCUCCCUCAAGCUCUUUUACAAGAACACUGAGACAUUCACAAGUGCUGAGUCCUCAAACCUACUAACCUCCUGAAGGCUACACCUCAAAUACGGAUUAAAUUUUCGCAUGAGUUUUGAGGGACACCCAUUCAAAGCAUAGCACCCUUCGGCUUCAGAGAAGCUCCAGCCCUGUUGUCACCAAGCAGGUUCCCCCUAGGCAGAGCGCCAAGAAGCAGCCCAGGCGAUCCCAAGGCGCACAAGUGCUCUCACCAGGCUGCGCGCUGGCGGGUCGGUGCACAGGGACGGGGUCGCCGCCCACGCGCGCUUGGUUCAGGGAGCCCAGGCUGUCCCUACCCGCGGCUACAAAAGCUCGCCGAGUCUUCCUGUCCACCCAAUCGCCCCACAUGUCAGCGGUUGGUCGCCUCGCGGUGCAGUGCUGGGCACGCGAGCCCCUCCCGCAGUCAUUCUCAGCACAAGCACCAGCCUGGAGCCCCGCAGCGACAGAGCUGAGAGCCCCCAAGCCGCAGAGGUCGUGCGGAGCAGGUUGCAAAUGUCUUAGAAACACACUCCUGGACCACAGCUUCAAGAGACGCAAGCAGUCACCUCAUCUGCUGGUUUCCAAGCUGCCCUGCCAGAAGCAGGUCAGGGGUCCCACAGGGGUCCUCAGUAACUCCUCAAAAUCCUCUCCCAUCAAUGGCCCCACCAGAUCAUCCCUACUUUUGAAUGCUUGUCCAAUGCAGGUUCCAGGUAAGAUUUCCUUUCACAAGUGACUUCCAUGGCU
rnacentral:lncRNA from 1 species